GACAGAGGGGGCAAGCGUUGCUCGGAAUCACUGGGCGUAAAGGGCGCGUAGGCGGGAUGGCAAGUCAGUCGUGAAAUCUCUCGGCUCAACCGAGAAACGUCGGCUGAUACUGCCGUUCUUGAGGGAUGCAGAGGAGACUGGAAUUCCCGGUGUAGCGGUGAAAUGUGUAGAGAUCGGGAGGAACACCGGUGGCGAAGGCGGGUCUCUGGGCAUCUCCUGACGCUGAGGCGCGAAAGUGUGGGGAGCGAACAGG
rnacentral:rRNA from 1 species